rnacentral:lncRNA from 1 species
CAAAAACCCAAGGGGCUCGGCGAGAGCCCUCCGGGGAGCCACCCAACCCGCGGGCUGGCGACGGCCCGGUGCUGGUGCGGAGCCCCAGAGCAGCAGGGGGAUCGCGCAGGGGCCUCCCGCAGCCCCACGCGGGCAGCGAGGUCAGCGCGCAGCCCUGCGGGCGGUCGCUUCAGCCCCAGGCGUUUCCCUUCAGCGCUGCCGGAGCGCGGGCACGCAGCGAGGCGAGGGAGCCGCCUCCUGCCUGCGACGGGUCGUAGCACGGCGCUCCUGAGCCACCUUGUGCCGAAGGAUCAGCUGCAGGACCUCCAAGUCGCCUCACCGGCAGCAAGGGCCGGGCUGCUGGAGCAGGAGCGCCUCGCUUUGCGGCCUUCGGUCUCCCCCAAAGGCAUUCGCCACGGGAAGCCACGGCGGCUAAAAGAAAUCCGCAGGAAGGGGUGUUGGGUGCUGGGAGCUCAGGGAGCUGGAAGCUGGAAGGUGUCGGUGCAGGAAAGCACAGAAGAGCACGGGUCUCCUCUCCUCGGAGCCAAAGCCCGCAUCGCUGCCAGGGGUAAAGCCACGGGGACGAGCUCCUGCACGGGGACAAACCAGGGUCCGGCAAAGGUCUGGCUUUACGGAGGCUCCCGACCACAUCGGAGACGCGAAGCUCCCGUUCCACAAAGCUCCUUCGGGACGCACCGGCAGGCACAGCAGCGGAGGCACCGAGUGCCUGCGGUCCCCAGGAGCCACAGACCGCAUCCGCGCCCACCUCUGCGCAUUUCCCCGCGCCCUCUGUUCCGGCUGGAGCUCCUUACACUCUUCCUUAAAAUCCUCGCGCUCCUUCUUGCGCGAGGUCGAGCGCGCGGGUCCCGAGCGGGCAGAGCCCUGCUUGCGACUCCUUCAGCAGCCGCGCUCCUUUCCGCCCGGGGCGGUGAGCAACGAGCACGCUUCGGCCUCCAGUUACCGCAGAGCCAAAACUUCUGCCAGCCCCCGGCCGGCCGGCGCCCUCGUUGCAGAGCUGGAACUUUCCAGAGCAGCGGUGCCAUGGCAGGGCCGAGGCUGGGAAACCCGAUGUUCCCCUGA